rnacentral:lncRNA from 1 species
UUUAUUAGGUAUUUAGCUCAUUACAUUUCCAAUGCUAUAACAAAAGUCCCCCAUACCCACCCCAUCCCCACUCCCCUACCCACCCACUUCCCCUUUUUGGCCUUGGUGUUCCCCUGUACUGGGGCAUAUAAAGUUUGCAACUCCAAUGGACCUCUCUUUGCAGUGAUGGCCGACUAGGCCAUCUUUUAAUACAUAUGCAGCUAGAGACAAGAGCUCCAGGGUACUGGUUAGUUCAUAUUGUUGUUCCACCUAUAGGGUUGCAGUUCCCUUUAGUUCCUUGGGUGCUUUCUCUAGCUCCUCCAUUGGGGGCCCUGUGAUCCAUUCAAUAGCUGACUGUGAGCAUCCAUUUCUGUGUUUGCUAGGCCCUGGCAUAGUCUCACAAGAGACAGCUAUAUCAGGGUCCUUUCAGCAAAAUCUUGUUAGUGUAUGCAAUGGUGUCAGCGUUUGGAAGCUGAUUAUGGGAAGGAUCUCUGGUAUUGGCAAUCACUAGAUGGUCCAUCCUUUCGUCACACUUCCAAAUUUUGUCUCUGUAACUCCUUCCAUGGGUGUUUUGUUUCCUAUUCUAAGAAGGAGCAAAGUGUCCACACUUUGGUCUUUGUUCUCUUGAGUUUAAUGUGUUUAGCAAAUUGUAUCUUAUAUCUUGGGUAUCCUAAGUAUCUGGGCUAAUAUCCACUUAUCAGUGAGUACAUAUUGUGAGAGUUCCUUUGUGAUUGGGUUACCUCACUCAGGAUGAUGCCCUCCAGGUCCAUCCAUUUGCCUAGGAAUUUCAUAAAUUCAUUCUUUUUAAUAGCUGAGUAGUACUCCAUUGUGUAAAUGUACCACAUUUUCUGUAUCCAUUCCUCUGUUGAGGGGCAUCUGGGUUCUUUCCAGCUUCUGGCUAUUAUAAAUAAGGCUGCUAUGAACAUAGUGGAGUAUGUGUCCUUCUUACCGGUUGGGACAUCUUCUGGAUAUAUGCCCAGGAGAGGUAUUGCUGGAUCCUCAGGUAGUACUAUGUCUAAUUUUCUGAGGAACCGCCAGACUGAUUUCCAGAGUGGUUGUACAAGCUUGCAAUCCCACCAACAAUGGAGGAGCGCUCCUCUUUCUCCACAUCCUUGCCAACAUCUGCUGUCACCUGAAUAUUUCAUCUUACCCAUUCUGACUGGUGUGAGGUGGAAUCUCAGGGUUGUUUUGAUUUGCAUUUCCCUGAUGAUUAAAGAUGUUAAACAUUUUUUCAGGUGCUUCUCUGCCAUUCGGUAUUCCUCGGGUGAGAAUUCUUUGUUCAGUUGACGUCAGUUUUUAAAACACAUAAGGGAACACCUUUCCAGAAGAAAAAUCUAGAGACAUAUUUUCCAAGGUAAAAAGACAGCUUAGAUUUUGUCAGCUUGACACACAGUAGUCACCUGGAAAGAAGGAACUUCUACUGAGGAAUUGCUCCAUCUGAUUGUCUUCUGUGGGUUAUUUUCUUGGUUAGUGAUGGAUAUGAGAGGGCUGGAAUAGAUAUGACACUGCCCACUUGGUUGUGUCAAGGCUGAGCAAGAGGUCCUGGGUUAUAUUAUGUAAACAACUUAAACGAUCAUGGGAUGCAAGGGAAUAGCAUUGGGACUUCUGCCUUUGUUCCUACAGUGACUUUUCUCAGUGAUGAACUGUAAUUUUGACAUAUGAGCCCUACAAACCCUUCCCUCCUCCAAGUUUCUUUGUUCGUGGUGUUAAGCAGAGCAAUAGAAACUAAAUUGAGACAGUGCCUCAGUGGUAGGGGCCUUGCCUAACAUGUGAAAGAGCCGAGGUUAGUUCUGUAGUAUU